CUGGGAGGUUCCGCCCAGGCCUGGCUUCUCCGUGGGAUCCAUCACAAGCACCUGGAGAGGCGGGCUCAGAUCGCGCCGGGCCCCGGGGGAUGUUCCAUCACUUCGUGGAGGUUUUCCAUCGUUUCUCUUUACGGUCCUUCCACAGCCAUUCUUCGCCAGCCACGGGGGGCAGCACGAAGAGGGGGCCAGACCACCCGUCGGGGAGGUGCCUGCCCCUCUGUUCUCAGCACCGGGCACCGCCCAGCAGGCUGAGGGUGAGGCUGGUGCGGGGCCAGGACAGAGAAUGCUGGGAAGCCGGGCGCUGGGGCUAAGGCAAGGCAGCGAGUGAGCGCCCAGCCUCAGAGUGGAGGCGUCCCGAGAGGCCACUGCGACGGCAUGGCUGGGACGCCCCGAGGUGGACAUGUGGAAGAGGAAUCCAUCUGAAAGACACACCGCAAACAGCUCAGGAGACACGGGGCACGACUAUUCACCGCAGCCCUGUGGGCAGCAGCCGGAGCCGGGAACACAGCCCCGGGCCCGCCACCGGGCUCCGUGGGUACCCUGCAGCGUGAACAGAACGAGGAGAGCGCCUCAAGAAACUAAAAGCGGGGUUACCGACCGCCCAGCAAUCCCACUCGGGGUCCACACUGAGAAGACGUGCAGGCAGGGUCCUGGCGAGGUGGCGCAGGCCCACGUCCAUAGCAGCGUUACUCCCACGGCCGACGCAUGGGAGCCGCCCGAGCGUCCACUGCUGGGCGGACGGGCCCGGGAUGCGUCCCGUCCGUGCGAUGGGCCAGGACUCCGCCCUCGGGGAAGGAGGCCCACGGGGUGCUGCAACGUGGACAGGCCUGGAGGACGCAGUGCUCCGCGAAGUUCGCCGUCUCAGCAGGCAGGUACCACGUGGCUCCUGUCCCACGAGGUCCCCUUCGGAGACAGGAAGCAGAGCAGGGGGCUCCCCGGGCGCGGGACGGGGGCUGGAAAUGAGUGUUUCCCGGGGACGGAGCUUCAGUUUUACAAAACCGAACGCGGCCUGGAGAUGGACGGCCGGGCGGUGGUGAUGGCGGCACAACACUGCGUGCACGUCACGUCCCUGAACUGUACCUUCAACAUGGUUAGGACGCGAGUUUCCUGUUACAUGUAUUUUACCACAAUUUAAAAAAAAAAGGAAAGCGGAAGGUCUCCGCGUACCAGCUCCGUGUGGUGCUCAGCACACAGUGUCCAAGACACAAGGCGGAGUGAAGCGUGUGCAAUGUCCUGUUUACCUAAGAAAGAAAAACAAAACCUAAAUAGAUCUUUAUCAUUCAAAUGCCAACGCUGGUGGUUUGAACAAAAAGAAGGAAUGGGGUAGAGAAAAAGAGUAGGUGCCAGCCCGGCUGGUGUGGUUCAGUGAUUGAGUGUUGACCUAGGAACCAGGAGGUCAGGGUUCGAUUCCCGGUCAGGGCACAGGCCCGGGUUGCGGGCUCGAUCCCCAGUGGGGGGCGUGCAGGAGGCAGCCGAUCCAUGAUUCUCUCUCAUCACGGAUGUUUCUCUCUCCCUCCCUUUCCCUGCCUCUCUGAGAUCAAUUUAAAACAUCCCUCGCUCUGUGUUCUGCACAAGGCCCAGUGUUCCCGAACAACGCAGAAGCCGUGAGCGCCUUUAGGGCCCAGAUGGGGGCCUCGAAUACCAUUUCCCAGAAAAAGAACCAGGGCCCUGGCCGGCUCGGCUCAGUGGGUAGGAAAUGCUACCAACCGGGCAUUUCACCAGAGAUACGCCUUCCACAGCAUGAUCCAGCCUCUGGGCUUAACCUCCAACGGGCAGGCGAUGUGGGGGACGGAGGCGCGUGUUACAUAACUGCACACAGAUCGAUUCAGCAAGAUCCACGCUGCGGAGGGC